rnacentral:rRNA from 1 species
GAAACUAGGAUUAGAUACCCUAUUAGAGAAUUUUUAAAAUUUAGUAGUAAGUGUUAUUCAUCGAAACUAAAAUAAAUUGGCGGCUACUUAAAUUUUUUAGAGAAACUUAUUCUGUAAAGGAUUUAACCCCAAAAUCUUACUUUUUUUAGAAAAAUUCAGCUCGUAUACCUCUAUUUUAUUAUUUUUUAAUCUAUAAUAUUAAACCUUAAGGGCUGGUUUUUAGGGCAAGGUGCGGCAUAUAAAAAAGAAUGAAAUAAGUUUUAUAUAUUUAUAUUUUGCAAAGUUUAAUUUUGUAAUUUUUAAUAAAUAAGAAUUUAAAAGUAAAAUUAAUAUAUUAUGUUAAUUUGAAUUUUACGUUAGUAUGUGUACAUAUUGCCCGUCCCUCUCUUUGAUAGGAGAUAAGUCGUAACAUAGUAA